rnacentral:rRNA from 1 species
AUUGAACGCUGGCGGCAGGCCUAACACAUGCAAGUCGAGCGGAUGAAGGGAGCUUGCUCCUGGAUUCAGCGGCGGACGGGUGAGUAAUGCCUAGGAAUCUGCCUGGUAGUGGGGGAUAACGUCCGGAAACGGGCGCUAAUACCGCAUACGUCCUGAGGGAGAAAGUGGGGGGUCUUCGGACCUCACGCUAUCAGAUGAGCCUAGGUCGGAUUAGCUAGUUGGUGGGGUAAAGGCCUACCAAGGCGACGAUCCGUAACUGGUCUGAGAGGAUGAUCAGUCACACUGGAACUGAGACACGGUCCAGACUCCUACGGGAGGCAGCAGUGGGGAAUAUUGGACAAUGGGCGAAAGCCUGAUCCAGCCAUGCCGCGUGUGUGAAGAAGGUCUUCGGAUUGUAAAGCACUUUAAGUUGGGAGGAAGGGCAGUAAGUUAAUACCUUGCUGUUUUGACGUUACCAACAGAAUAGGCACCGGCUAACUUCG